GACAGAGGAUGCAAGCGUUUAUCCGGAAUGAUUGGGCGUAAAGCGUCUGUAGGUGGCUUUUUAAGUCCGCCGUCAAAUCCCAGGGCUCAACCCUGGACAGGCGGUGGAAACUACCAAGCUUGAGUACAGUAGGGGCGGAGGGAAUUUCCGGUGGAGCGGUGAAAUGCAUAGAUAUCGGGAAGAACACCAACGGCGAAAGCACUCCGCUGGGCUGAUACUGACACUGACAGACGAAAGCUAGGGUAGCGAAAGGG
rnacentral:rRNA from 1 species